rnacentral:rRNA from 1 species
GAUGAGCGCUGACAGAAUGCUUAACACAUGCAAGUCAACUUGAAUUUGGGUUUUUUUACUUAGAUUUGGGUGGCGGACGGGUGAGUAACGCGUAAAGAACUUGCCUCACAGCUAGGGACAACAUUUGGAAACGAAUGCUAAUACCUGAUAUUAUGAUUAUAAGGCAUCUUAGAAUUAUGAAAGCUAUAUGCGCUGUGAGAGAGCUUUGCGUCCCAUUAGCUAGUUGGAGAGGUGACGGCUCACCAAGGCGAUGAUGGGUAGCCGGCCUGAGAGGGUGAACGGCAACAAGGGGACUGAGACACGGCCCUUACUCCUACGGGAGGCAGCAGUGGGGAAUAUUGGACAAUGGACCAAGAGUCUGAUCCAGCAAUUCUGUGUGCACGAUGACGUUUUUCGGAAUGUAAAGUGCUUUCAGUUGGGAAGAAAAAAAUGACGGUACCAACAGAAGAAGAGACGGCUAAAUACGUG